rnacentral:rRNA from 1 species
GACGAACGCUGGCGGCGUGCUUAACACAUGCAAGUCGAACGAAGUGGCGAACGGGUGAGUAACGCGUAAUCAACCUGCCCUUCAGAGGGGGACAACAGUUGGAAACGACUGCUAAUACCGCAUACUGAAGGAGGGGAUUGCGUCUGCUUAGCUAGUUGGAGGGGUAACGGCCUACCAAAGCGAUGAUCAGUAGCCGUUUGGAGAGGAGGAACAGCCACAUUGGGACUUAGAACCGGCCCAGACUCCUACGGGGGGCAGCAGUGGGGAAUCUUCCGCAAUGGACGAAAGACUGACGGAGCAAAGCCGCGUGAGUGAUGACGGCCUUCGGGGUGUAAAGCUCUGUUAAUCGGGACGCGGUACCGGAAUAGAAAGCCACGGCUAACUACGUGCCAGCAGCCGCGGUAAUAC